AGUGAACGCUGGCGGUAGGCCUAACACAUGCAAGUCGAACGGCAGCACAGUAAGAGCUUGCUCUUACGGGUGGCGAGUGGCGGACGGGUGAGGAACACAUCGGAAUCUACUUUUCGUGGGGGAUAACGUAGGGAAACUUACGCUAAUACCGCAUACGACCUACGGGUGAAAGCAGGGGAUCUUCGGACCUUGCGCGAUUGAAUGAGCCGAUGUCGGAUUAGCUAGUUGGCGGGGUAAAGGCCCACCAAGGCGACGAUCCGUAGCUGGUCUGAGAGGAUGAUCAGCCACACUGGAACUGAGACACGGUCCAGACUCCUACGGGAGGCAGCAGUGGGGAAUAUUGGACAAUGGGCACAAGCCUGAUCCAGCCAUACCGCGUGGGUGAAGAAGGCCUUCGGGUUGUAAAGCCCUUUUGUUGGGAAAGAAAAGCAGCAGGUUAAUACCCCGCUGUUCUGACGGUACCCAAAGAAUAAGCACCGGCUAACUUCGUG
rnacentral:rRNA from 1 species